rnacentral:lncRNA from 1 species
CAAGUCACUAUUGGCUCUAUAUAAAUCCCAUAACCUUCAUACAUUUCUCUUCACCAAAACACCACACACCUCCAAUCACUUGAGUAACUGAACCCAGAUUUAUAACAAUGGCGGGUAUGUUGAUGAAGAUGGCCUGUGUGAUGGUGGCUUGCAUGGUGGUGUUUGCACCCCAUGCAGAAGCCGCCGUGUCUUGCGGUCAGGUGGCGAGCAGCUUGUUUCCUUGCCUGACAUACCUAAGGAACGGUGGGGUAGUGCCGGAUACCUGUUGUGCUGGUGUUAAGGGACUUAACAGUGCAGCUAAAUCUACAGCUGACAAGAAAACCGCUUGUGGAUGCCUUAAGAAUGCUUAUAAUGCCUUACCUGGAAUACAAGCUCCCCUCGCAUCUAGCCUUCCCAGCAAAUGUGGUGUCUCAAUUCCAUACAAGAUCAGCCCCAAUACUGACUGCAACAAGUAUGUCAACUUUUAAGAUUUAUAUCACUAAUGAAUACACACUCAUUACACACUACCCGAUGUCCCAUAAAAAAUGCAUUAUCUAAUUAUACAAUCAACGAUUCUACUAUAUAUGGUAAACUCUUGUAGUCAUCCAUAACCAUCCAAGUUUUGUUUUUACAUACAUAUAACCAUUUUCAAAUUGCUGAUUAUUUCACUAGCUGAACUACAAUGUGAGUCAUGGUUUAAAAAUGCUUGAUGUGUUUCUUUGAUAAAAAAAACAUAAGCCACACAUUUGAAAUCAUUUAAUGACUUAUUUUUUAGUUUUGCUUUAAAAAUUUUCUGGAAAUGUGAUCGUACUGUUCCUAGUUAAUUUACUGAUAUGUUGAAUGUACUUACUGUGGAAAUUGUAGGAUUCGGUAAUGAGUAAUCUAUGGAGGACGAAAAGAAAGAUCGAGUGAUAAAAGGAGACGAGUUUUCAUGUGUUAGAUUUUUCGCUUUACCAAAUAAAUGAUAUAGGGCGCAUUCAGAUAUGACCCUUUCUAGGCCUGUUGUCCUUUGUAUUUGUAGCUCUGUUGUCCUUUAUAUUUCUAAUGUAUUUUCCUUCCACAAUUUUCAUCGUCGACCUUCUAAUAAAUCUCUCUCNAAG